rfam:Cavia porcellus supercont2_40 genomic scaffold, whole genome shotgun sequence.
GUCUACGGCCAUACCACCCUGAACGCACCCCAUCUCGUCUGAUCUCGGAAGCUAAGCAGGGUCAGGCCUGGUUAGUACUUAGAUGGGAGAUUGUUAAAAAUAAAUGAAUAAACUAAUAAAAAAGAGAGCACCUGGGAAGCACCAAUGAUGUUAGUA